rnacentral:rRNA from 1 species
UACGGGGGGGGCAAGCGUUGUUCGGAAUUACUGGGCGUAAAGGGCUCGUAGGCGGCCAACUAAGUCAGACGUGAAAUCCCCAGGCUCAACCUGGGAACUGCGUCUGAUACUGGAUGGCUUGAAUCCGGGAGAGGGAUGCAGAAUUCCAGGUGUAGCGGUGAAAUGCGUAGAUAUCUGGAGGAAUACCGGUGGCGAAGGCGGCUCUCUGGGCCUUACCUGACGCUGAGGAGCGAAAGCGUGGGUAGCGAACAGG